rnacentral:rRNA from 1 species
UACGGGGGGUGCGAGCGUUGUCCGGAAUCACUGGGCGUAAAGGGCGCGUAGGUGGUUUGAUAAGGGUGUGGUGAAAGUCCGGGGCUCAACCCCGGAUCUGCCGUGCCGACUGUCAAACUCGAGGGCUGUAGAGGCAGACGGAAUUCCGGGUGUAGCGGUGGAAUGCGUAGAGAUCCGGAGGAAGACCGGUGGCGAAGGCGGUUAUCUGGCCAAAUACUGACGCUGAGAUACGAAAGUGCGGGGAUCAAACAGG